GCCUCUAUGGCGCAGCCUGGUAACGCGUCGCACUUGUAAUGCGAAGAUCACAAGUUCGAAUCUUGUUGGAGGCA
rfam:Exophiala dermatitidis NIH/TT8656 unplaced genomic scaffold supercont1.2, whole genome shotgun sequence.